GACGAACGCUGGCGGCGUGCUUAACACAUGCAAGUCGAACGGAAAGGCCCUGCUUUUGUGGGGUGCUCGAGUGGCGAACGGGUGAGUAACACGUGAGUAACCUGCCCUUGACUUUGGGAUAACUUCAGGAAACUGGGGCUAAUACCGGAUAGGAGCUCCUGUUGCAUGGUGGGGGUUGGAAAGUUUCGGCGGUUGGGGAUGGACUCGCGGCUUAUCAGCUUGUUGGUGGGGUAGUGGCUUACCAAGGCUUUGACGGGUAGCCGGCCUGAGAGGGUGACCGGCCACAUUGGGACUGAGAUACGGCACAGACUCCUACGGGAGGCAGCAGUGGGGAAUAUUGCACAAUGGGCGGAAGCCUGAUGCAGCAAAGCCGCGUGCGGGAUGACGGCCUUCGGGUUGUAAACCGCUUUCGCCUGUGACGAAGCGUGAGUGACGGUAAUGGGUAAAGAAGCACCGGCUAACUACGUG
rnacentral:rRNA from 1 species